UAUUUAACCUUGCAGACUAAAGUCUGUUUAUCCACAGUACAGGAAUGGCACAGGCAGUGAUCUCUGAAACUCUGCCCUGUCAAUGUGCCCCCAAAAUGAUCUGGAGGACUACUUACAGAGGAGAAAAGAAUAAUUUGGUCUCCAUCCUUGGUCUUUCUGUUGCGACU
rnacentral:sRNA from 1 species